rnacentral:rRNA from 1 species
AUAACGCAUCGAAAGAUGUGCUAAUACAGCAUAAACUCUGAGGAGGAAAGGUGGGGACCCUGUGAUGGGGCCUAUCGCUAUAUGAGCGGCCGAUGGUCGAUUAGCUAGUUGGUGAGGUAAGAGCUUACCAAGGCGAUGAUCGAUAGCUGUUCUGAGAGGAAGAUCAGCCACACUGGGACCGAGACACGGCCCAGACUCCUACGGGAGGCAGCAGUGGGGAAUUUUGGACAAUGGGGGCAACCCUGAUCCAGCAACGCCGCGUGAAUGAAGAAGGCCUUAGGGUUGUAAAGUUCUUUUGUCAGGGAAGAAAAGUGUUAGGUUAAUACCUUAACAUGCUGACGGUACCUGAAGAAUAAGCACCGGCUAACUACGUGCCAGCAGCCGCGGUAAUACGUAGGGUGCGAGCGUUAAUCGGAAUAACUGGGCGUAAAGAGUGCGUAGGCGGAUAUUUAAGUUAGAUGUGAAAUGCCCGAGCUUAACUUGGGACUGGCAUGUAAUACUGGGUAUCUAGAGUUUGUCAGAGGGGGGUAGAAUUCCACGUGUAGCAGUGAAAUGCGUAGAGAUGUGGAGGAAUACCAAUGGCGAAGGCAGCCCCCUGGGAUAGAACUGACGCUGAGGCACGAAAGCGUGGGUAGCAAACAGGAUUAGAUACCCUGGUAGUCCACGCCCUAAACGAUGUCUACUUGCUGUUGGGGGUGAAACCUUAGUAGCGAAGCUAACGCGAGAAGUAGACCGCCUGGGGAGUACGGUCGCAGAUUAAAACUCAAGGAAUUGACGGG